AAAAACAAAAACAAAAAAAACAACAAAAACGCCCCUCCUGUGCCAGAAGACGGGGGAUCUUGCGUUCUUCUCGCUUUGUCGUUGCUCUUGUUCUUGUUCUUGUUCUCCUUCCUCUUUUUCUUGUUU
rnacentral:ribozyme from 15 species